rnacentral:rRNA from 1 species
AGGAAUAUUGGUCAAUGGCCGGAAGGCUGAACCAGCCAAGCCGCGUGAGGGAGGAAGCGUUUCGGCGCGUAAAGUACUUUCAGCGGGGAGGAAGGGAGUAAAGUUAAUACCUUUGCUCAUUGACGUUACCCGCAGAAGAAGCACCGGCUAACUCCGUGCCAGCAGCCGCGGUAAUACGGAGGGUGCAAGCGUUAAUCGGAAUUACUGGGCGUAAAGCGCACGCAGGCGGUUUGUUAAGUCAGAUGUGAAAUCCCCGGGCUCAACCUGGGAACUGCAUCUGAUACUGGCAAGCUUGAGUCUCGUAGAGGGGGGUAGAAUUCCAGGUGUAGCGGUGAAAUGCGUAGAGAUCUGGAGGAAUACCGGUGGCGAAGGCGGCCCCCUGGACGAAGACUGACGCUCAGGUGCGAAAGCGUGGGGAGCAAACAG